AUUGAACGCCGGCGGCAGGCUUAACACAUGCAAGUCGAGCGGGGACUUCGGUCCUAGCGGCGAACGGGUGAGGAAUGCUUGGGAAUCUGCCCAGUAGCGGGGGAUAACGUUUCGAAAGGAACGCUAAUACCGCAUACGCCCUACGGGGGAAAGGGGGGGAUCUUCGGACCUCUCACUAUUGGAUGAGCCCAAGUCGGAUUAGCUAGUUGGUGGGGUAAAGGCCUACCAAGGCGACGAUCCGUAGCUGGUCUGAGAGGAUGAUCAGCCACCCUGGACCUGUGACACGGUCCAGAUUCCAACGGGUGGCAACGGUGGGGCAUUUUGUACAAUGGGCGAAAGCCUGAUCCAGCCAUUCCGCGUGUGUGAAGAAGGCCUUCGGGUUGUAAAGCACUUUAAGCGAGGAGGAAUGGCUCUUGGUUAAUAACCUUGAGCAGUGACGUUACUCGCAGAAUAAGCACCGGCUAACUCUGUGCCAGCCGCCGCCGUAAAAC
rnacentral:rRNA from 1 species